GUAGUCUUUACAUCAGGGCCUGUACAUUGGAAUAGGAGAAGUUCAGGACGAUUUUCAACGCCAUCUAUGUUAUCGGUUUACAUCUAAAAGCUUACUUUUUGGUGUUUUAUUUUUGAAUGUUUGUAGUUGCAAUCAUGCAUCGAGAAACAACCAAGAUUAUUGAAUGAACAACGUCUUUCAAACGUGUAUAACAUAUAUAUAACAUUCCAUUCCUACAAAUGAAGACGUUUGCAAAAUUUGGUUGCAAAGAAUAAAUAACCGCAAGUUAAUAAUAGCAGAUACAGUUUUAACAUCACAUAGAUAUGUGAUAUUAAUUUUGAAUCAAUUUGUAAAAACCCCAAUGGAAGGUUAAAAAAACUUUCACUGCCAACUCUACAUUUACCUAAUUACGAAAAAGGUGAAAAUGAUAUUUUUUGGGUACAGGAGCAACCAUCUUCAUUUUCAACUCCAAAAAGGUUGAUAGAAUCAAUUGGAAGGCCUAGUUCCUCUAUCAGCACCAGCACCCUAGGGGGAACAGAAAAACCUGUUAAGGUGUACACAAGGAAGUGAUUAUUUCAAACCUUUGUUGAAGAACCUUGUAGCUCCUUGAGCAUCCUGUAUGAACCAUCAAUAUCAACUAAUAUGGAAACAGUUAAACUUGAAGGGCACUCGACUGUGACAGGUGAGUAUAGUCAUAUACUUUCAGAUUGAAAUCAACCAAGGAAACUUAAUAAAAGACGUAGCCCCAAUGCCGGGAACAUUAAUAUUUUGUGAUGCAAAGUCAGUUGGUGGAAGUCAGCUGCUAAGAAAGCGCAAAAAUAUUGUUCAAAAACAAUAAUAAAAUACUUAGAAAGUAAUCUGGAACAUUUAAAAUGGCUUAAAAAUGUAACAACAGCAAAGGAAUCAAAAAUUGAAAUCUAGAGGAAGAAUAUUUACCUUAGAUGACAAGAUAUUUUCACUAUCCUGUUACAGGAAUAGUGGAAAAGGUUACAGGUUUCUUUCUAAAAUAUUUUCUUUACUGAGUCGAAGAACAUUAAUUAGGUUAUUAAAUCUUAUGCCUUUCAGUUGUGGAAGAAACAAACAUAUUUUUAAUCACUUAAAAGGGAUAGUAGAGAAAAUGGUCAGUCUUGAUAAAUAUUGUGUAUUAAUAUUUGAUGAAAUGUCAUUAGAUACUGGGCUCACAUAUAAUCGGGUGGCAGAUUGUUUUGAAGAGUUAAUUGAUUUUGGAAAAGGGGAUGGGAGAGCUGGCUUUGCUGAUCAUGCUCUACUUUUUAUGAUUAAAGGUAAAAGUAUAAGCUGGAAACAACCGAUAGCAUUUUAUUUUUGUGAGCACUCCACAAAAACUGUGGAUUUAGUAAGAAUUAUUAAAGAUGCUGUGAGAGCACUACGUAGUACUGGCCUGAAAAUAAUUGCGUGAGUUUGUGAUUUGGGAUCUACUAAUGCUAGUGCUGUUAAUAAACUGCUGGAUGAUACAAAAGCGUGCUGUAUCAGGAAUAAUAUAGAUACAUUUCAGGGGUAUUUAAUAGAUGGAGAAGAAAUAAUCCAUUUGUUUGAAUAUCCUCAGUUAUUUAAAUGUUUGAAAAAUGGAUUAAUAAAUGAAAAUCUACAAUUUUUUUCAGAAUGGGGCUUCAAAAGUAUCUUCUUGGGAACACAUUAUAAAAUUAUAUAGUAUGGAUAAACAAAUGGGGUUUUUCAGUAGCUUCCCCAAACUAACGGAUCAACAUAUUUUCAAAAACAAAAUUAAGAAGAUUAGGGUGAAAAAUUGUACGCAAGUAUUUAGUCAGACAGUAGCAAUGACAAUGAAAACUCGUGCAGAGAUCAGCAAUAAGUUGCAGCCAGAAUCUCACUUGAAUUCCAAAGAAACUAAAACUGCAGAUUUAUUAUUGUUUUUGGACAUGUUGUUUGACAGCCUUAAUGGAAAUCUGUUAAAUCAUCCUUUAGCGAAAGAAUUGAGGGGAGUUACCACUGUCACAUCCAAACAUCUAGAUACUUGGCUCAAUGCAAUGCCGGUUUUAAAUUCAUUUCAUUUUAUACACCCAUCAAAAAAGAGUGGUAGAUGUAUAACACCAUCAAUUAAGAAACUACUAUUCACCAUUAAAGGAUUUGUGUACAUUUGGCAAAAGUUAAGGCAAGUGCCAGAAACUUAAUCAAGAUGCUAUUGAAAAUUUCUUGGCAUGGUAAGAAGUCAUGGCAUUAGGAAUACGAAUCCUUCAUGUUUCCUGCAUUUCUUUCGUCCACAAAGUCUUUAAUUGUAAAUAAUUUCAUGUCUAAACAUUCGCCAGGAUUUAAUUGUGAAGACGACUUUUCAACGGGGGCAUUGGAUACUUUUAAAAAUUUCCUCAGUGAAACACCUAUUGAACAAAUCACUCGCAAUAGUCAAUGUCCCAAUUUAUAAACCAUUCAAUAGAAGCUCAAAAUAUAUAGGAUUAGAUCUUGUCACUCCUUAUGUAGCAGGUUCAAUAGGGAAGAAAUUAUUUAAAAGUCUCAAAUUGCCACUUUUGUAAAAAUACAAUAUUCUCAAACGAAUUAAUUAAGGCCAAUUCAUUAAUAUAUUCUAGGGAACAUAAAAAAAUGUUUUAUGUGCGCCUUCAACAAAAUUUUGUGAUAUUUUUAAAAGUUUUUCUGAUAAAAUUUUCGAAAGAUUGCCCCAGUUAGGCAUAAAAAAACAAAUAUUUCGUUUGGAAAAUUUGACAUACAUUUCCUCAAUAUUUUGUUCAGAUCAUAAGGAUUAUGUAAAUAUGUUUGUAAAUAUUAGUUUUACCAUAUGCAUCUUUCAUUACAUAAGUAUUAUUAAUAAAAUUUUGAAGGGCAAAGAUCAACAAUAUAAAGACUAUGAUGUUGUGAUGAAUACAGCAUAUGUUCAAUAUAGGGAAAGCUGCAAGAAAGACAACGGUAAUCAUUAAUUAACCAUGAUUAUAAAAUCAGUUUUUUAUAUGCCAUUGUAUGUACCAUGUACAAACAGAAACAUUUUUUAAACAUGCCAACAUCUCACUGUUGACAGUCCUAAGCUAAGUGUCAAAAACAAAAUAAAAAUUAUAAUAAUCA